UGAAGUCAAACAUUUGGAACGAUCAUCGUUGAUUAGCCCUCAGCCUCGAAAGAGUCCUGAGAAACAACCCUCGAUUACCUCAAAAAGAAGAACC